CCUACGGGGGGCUACAGUGGGGAAUAUUGGACAAUGGGGGCAACCCUGAUCCAGCCAUGCCGCGUGUGUGAAGAAGGCCCUCGGGUUGUAAAGCACUUUCAGUGAGGAAGAACGCCUGGUGGUUAAUACCCAUCAGGAAAGACAUCACUCACAGAAGAAGCACCGGCUAACUCCGUGCCAGCAGCCGCGGUAAUACGGAGGGUGCGAGCGUUAAUCGGAAUUACUGGGCGUAAAGCGCGCGUAGGUGGCUUGAUAAGCCGGUUGUGAAAGCCCCUGGCUCAACCUGGGAACGGCAUCCGGAACUGUCAAGCUAGAGUGCAGGAGAGGAAGGUAGAAUUCCCGGUGUAGCGGUGAAAUGCGUAGAGAUCGGGAGGAAUACCAGUGGCGAAGGCGGCCUUCUGGACUGACACUGACACUGAGGUGCGAAAGCGUGGGUAGCAAACAGGAUUAGAUAUCCUUGUAGUC
rnacentral:rRNA from 1 species